CCUACGGGGGGCAGCAGUGAGGAAUAUUGGUCAAUGGACGCAAGUCUGAACCAGCCAAGUAGCGUGCAGGAUGACGGCCCUCCGGGUUGUAAACUGCUUUUAGUUGGGAAUAAAAGGGGGCUCGUGAGCCCCGUAUUGUAUGUACCAUCAGAAAAAGGACCGGCUAAUUCCGUGCCAGCAGCCGCGGUAUACGGAAGGUCAGGGCGUUAUCCGGAUUUAUUGGGUUUAAGGGGAGCGUAGGACGGCGUUUAUGUGAGGUGUGAAGGUCCGCGCCUCAAGCGGGGAAGUGCAGUUGAUACUGGAUGCCUUGAGUGCACACAGGGAUGCAGGAAUGCAUGGUGUAGCGGUGAAAUGCUUAGAUAUCACGAAGAACUCCGAUCGCGAAGGCAAGUGACCGGGGUGCAAUUGACGCUGAGGCUCGAAAGUGCGGGUAUCAAACAGGAUUAGAUACCCGUGUAGUC
rnacentral:rRNA from 1 species